UCGAGUUUUUGUACUGUAUUUAUCACAUGUGUUUAUAUACAGGCAAUUUUCUUGACCUAUUAUUAGACACUUUCCUUCACCCCUUUUCAUAUUUUUUUUUUUAAUUUUUAGAUUUAUUUUCUAUAAGACUUCAAGAUUCAAGCUGUUCAUCCUGAAUUCUUUUCGAGUUUUAUUUAUUUUUACUUUCUUUUAUGAUGUUUGACUAGUUUUCUUAUUUGAUUCUAGAGUUUGUAAAUAGUUGAUUACAUUUAUGUGAUUGAUUUAUUAAUACCUUUUUGUCUUUCCAGUUUCUGAUUCAUAAUUCUUG
rnacentral:lncRNA from 1 species